GAUGAACGCUAGCGGCAGGCUUAAUACAUGCAAGUCGAGGGGCAGCAGGUCUGUAGCAAUACAGGCGCUGGCGACCGGCAAACGGGUGCGGAACACGUACACAACCUUCCUUUAAGCGGGGAAUAGCCCGGGGAAACCCGGAUUAAUACCUCAUAGUAUAAUGAAGAGGCAUCUUUUUAUUAUUAAAGAUUUAUCACUUGAAGAUGGGUGUGCGGCUGAUUAGGUAGUUGGCGGGGUAACGGCCCACCAAGCCUACGAUCAGUAACUGGUGUGAGAGCACGACCAGUCACACGGGCACUGAGACACGGGCCCGACUCCUACGGGAGGCAGCAGUAAGGAAUAUUGGUCAAUGGACGAAAGUCUGAACCAGCCAUGCCGCGUGGAGGAUGAAGGUCCUCUGGAUUGUAAACUUCUUUUAUAUGGGACGAAAAAAGGCUUUUCCAGGUCGUCUGACGGUACCAUAUGAAUAAGCACCGGCUAACUCCGUGCCAGCCGCCGCCGUAAAAC
rnacentral:rRNA from 1 species